rnacentral:misc_RNA from 1 species
AACGCACAUUGCGCCCCUUGGCAUUCCGAGGGGCAUGCCCGUUCGAGCGUCAUUAUAACCCUCAAGCCUAGCUUGGUGUUGGGGCCUGCUGUGACCGGCAGCCCUAAAAAUCAGUGGCGGUGCCCUCUGGCCCUGAGCGUAGUAAUACUUCUCGCUACAGGGUCCGGGAGGUGCCUGUUAGCAACCCCCAACCUUCUCUGGUUGACCUCGGAUCGGGUAGGGAUACCCGCUGAACUUAA